rnacentral:lncRNA from 1 species
UCCGCUCCGGGUCUGGGACUCCCUGUCCUGGGUGGUGGAGAAAGUGUCUAGGAGGCUGGCGUUCUGCCUCCGAGCUUCCCUGGCUCACUGGCCCGGGAGACCGGCAGUGCCCGGGGAGGAAAGUGCCCAGCGGGACUAGCUUCCAACAGAGCCUACUGUUUGCCACUCCGUGAGGGCAUGAGGGGAGUGGAGGAAAAAAGACAGUGCCUGCCCUCAAAGGAGCUUACUCGGGAGUGGGGGCAACAGUCAAGUAAACCAGAAUGAAAAUACAGGAGCACAGAGAAGCAUCUAAGUCUCGCUGGGGACCUGGGAGGAUUUGAGGAAGAGGUGGCACUUGAAUUGUAUUUUAAAGGUUGAGGAGUCAUCACACACCGGAGGGGGAAGGGCACGCAGGCAGAAAGACCGGCCUUCGCAAAAGCGUGGAAGCACACGGUGCCAAAGGAUCACAGGUGCCUCUUUCCUCCGGACAGAAUCACGGUGAGACCUGGUGCGUGUUGGGCAAUGGGAACUGCAGCAGGAAGGCCAUCAGCUGCCCCCACCCCCCCAGGGACCAGAAAAAUCCUGACCUUCCUGAAAGUUCCUUCCUUGGCAGGGGUUCGAUGGUUGUACUCUUAUGUGAAACAGUGGGUCCACAAUUCGAGCGCCAAAUAGGAAGUAAAACAACUGUCCGAACCCUCUCUCUCAUCCUGGCCCGACGUGAGUAGGCUUCGUGGCUUGCUAGGUUACCGGAAGGGCGGAACCAUUCUACCUUACCCACGUAGAACCGCACAGGCGGGAACACCCCAGCACAGAGUAGGGAAACGUGA